rnacentral:lncRNA from 1 species
AAAGUUAACUGUAUUUUAUUUCUCUUGCAUUAAUCUAUCUUCCUUUUGCACACAUAUGGUCAACAAUUCAUUAAUUGACCAUUUAUCUUUUUGUGUGUUAUAAGAGAUAUGAAAUGUUCCAUAUUCAGAUGGUAAAGAUUCAAAAUAAAGUGUACUAAGAAUGAAUUAGAGAUGGUUAUUUGAAGUGCAGUGAGCUGCGUUGCAGUAUCUCGCAUUUUCAUAAUAUGCUCGUAAAUUGAGCCAUUUCCGGAGUACUUCAUGGAUGACAGUUUAUUCAUUAGGGUGCUCACCAAAGUUUUACUAGAGCUUACAAACUAUUGCUCCACAGUAUUCAAGAAAUCGCAAGCUGUUUCACACUCUAAAGUUGAAAUCCGAAUUUUUUACCGACACGCGCUUUCAUCAGCAUUAAACUUAGCCAAUUACAAUGCUCCCACUUUUCUAAAAAUACUAUUU